rnacentral:tRNA from 1 species
UUUACUUUAGUGUAAAGAGCACGCAAAUUUUUGGUAUUUGAGGUUUAAUCGUACAGAUAAAU